UACGGAGGGUGCAAGCGUUGUCCGGAUUUAUUGGGUUUAAAGGGUGCGUAGGCGGCCCGUUAAGUCAGCGGUGAAAUCCCGGGGCUCAACCCUGGAACUGCCGUUGAUACUGGCGGGCUUGAGUUCGGUGAAGGCGGGCGGAACUGGCGGUGUAGCGGUGAAAUGCUUAGAUACCGCCAAGAACCCCGAUUGCGUAGGCAGCUCGCUGUGCCGAAACUGACGCUGAGGCACGAAAGCGUGGGGAGCGAACAGG
rnacentral:rRNA from 1 species